UCAGACGAUGCGUCAUGCAUAUCAAUAAGCGGAGGAAAAGAAACUAACAAGGAUUCCCUUAGUAACGGCGAGUGAAGCGGGAAGAGCUCAAAUUUGAAAUCUUCAAGGUUUUACCUUGACGAAUUGUAGUUUAAAGAAGUGUUUUCUGCUGAAGUUUUGGUAAAAGUUCUUUGGAAUAGGACAUCAUAGAGGGUGAGAAUCCCGUAUUUGACCAUUAUUUUCAGCUUUGUGAUACACUUUCAAAGAGUCGGAUUGUUUGGGAAUGCAGUCCAAAAUGGGUGGUAAAUUUCAUUCUAAGCUAAAUAUUGGCGAGAGACCGAUAGCGAACAAGUACCGUGAGGGAAAGAUGAAAAGAACUUUGAAAAGAGAGUUAAAUAGUACGUGAAAUUGUCAAAAGGGAAGCGUUUAACACCAGUGUUGUUUUCUGAAAAUCAACCUCUGUUAGCUUUAUGCAUGUUUGUUUAGACCUAAUCAGCUAUCUUGCAUGUUCUAUUGUUUGCAGUGGUGCACUUUUCAGUUUACAGGUCAACAUCAGUUUUUUUUACCGUAAAAAAGUUAAAGAAAGGUAGCUCAUGGCUCCGGUCGUGAGUGUUAUAGUCUUUUUCCUAUGCGGUAGGAGAGACUGAGGUCUGCAGUGUAGGCUAUUGGCUAGAUACUCAGGUGCUAUGUGAUACCAUUUCAUAAACAACUUGUUGAUUAUGUUUUGUCUAUUGCAUACUCGCUUGUACUAUCAUACCUACGCUUAGGAUGUUGACUGAUAUGUAGUCGUA
rnacentral:rRNA from 1 species